rnacentral:rRNA from 1 species
GACGAACGCUGGCGGCGUGCUUAACACAUGCAAGUCGAACGGAAAGGCCCUGCUUUUGUGGGGUGCUCGAGUGGCGAACGGGUGAGUAACACGUGAGUAACCUGCCCUUGACUUUGGGAUAACUUCAGGAAACUGGGGCUAAUACCGGAUAGGAGCUCCUGCUGCAUGGUGGGGGUUGGAAAGUUUCGGCGGUUGGGGAUGGACUCGCGGCUUAUCAGCUUGUUGGUGUGGUAGUGGCUUACCAAGGCUUUGACGGGUAGCCGGCCUGAGAGGGUGACCGGCCACAUUGGGACUGAGAUACGGCCCAGGCUCCUACGGGAGGCAGCAGUGGGGAAUAUUGCACAAUGGGCGGAAGCCUGAUGCAGCAACGCCGCGUGCGGGAUGACGGCCUUCGGGUUGUAAACCGCUUUCGCCUGUGACGAAGCGUGAGUGACGGUAAUGGGUAAAGAAGCACCGGCUAACUACGUG